rnacentral:rRNA from 1 species
UCCCGCAGCUAGCUCUCUGCAACUCCUACAUGGUCGCCCACUGAAGUUGAGCAGGGUUGCCCUUGGUCAGUGCCUGGAUGGGAGACCACAUGGGAAAGCCAAGUUGCUGGCAGAU